CGACCGGCGCACGGGUGCGUAACGCGUAUCGAACCUGCCCUUUACUCAGGGAUAGCCUUGCGAAAGUAAGAUUAAUACCUGAUAGUGUUGCGAUGAGGCAUCCUGUUGCAACUAAAGAUUUAUUGGUAAAGGAUGGCGAUGCGUCUGAUUAGGUAGUAGGCGGGGUAAUGGCCCACCUAGCCUUUGAUCAGUAGGGGUUCUGAGAGGAAGGUCCCCCACAUUGGAACUGAGACACGGUCCAA
rnacentral:rRNA from 1 species